rnacentral:tRNA from 1 species
GCCUGGGUGGCUCAGUCGGUUAGGCAACUGACUUGGGUUCAGGUCAUGAUCUCACGGCUCGUGGGUUCGAGCCCCGCAUCGGGCU